UCUUAUGGAUGAACAAAGAAAGUGCUUUCUGAAGACAGAAACUACUCCUGGUGAAGAUGCUGUGAA
rnacentral:pre_miRNA from 1 species